rnacentral:rRNA from 1 species
UACAGAGGUCCCAAGCGUUGUUCGGAUUCACUGGGCGUAAAGGGUGCGUAGGUGGUUGCGCAAGUCUGAUGUGAAAUCCCCGGGCUCAACCCGGAAAUGGCAUUGGAAACUGCGUGGCUAGAGGGUUGGAGGGGGGACUGGAAUACUUGGUGUAGCAGUGAAAUGCGUAGAUAUCAAGUGGAACACCAGUGGCGAAGGCGAGUCCCUGGACAACACCUGACACUGAGGCACGAAAGCUAGGGGAGCAAACAGG